rnacentral:tRNA from 1 species
GGCCCGUUGGUCUAUCGGCCAGGACACCAGCCCCUCACGCUGGAGAGGCGGGUUCGAUUCCCGCACGGGCUA